CAGCCGCCACGGGAAUACGGAGGGUGCAAGCGUUAUCCGGAUUUAUUGGGUUUAAAGGGUCCGUAGGCGGACUUAUAAGUCAGUGGUGAAAGCCUGUUGCUUAACGAUAGAACUGCCAUUGAUACUGUAAGUCUUGAGUAUAUUUGAGGUAGCUGGAAUAAGUAGUGUAGCGGUGAAAUGCAUAGAUAUUACUUAGAACACCAAUUGCGAAGGCAGGUUACCAAGAUAUAACUGACGCUGAGGGACGAAAGCGUGGGUAGCGAACAGGAUUAGAUACCCCCGUAGUCCCUGUCUCUUAUAC
rnacentral:rRNA from 1 species